rnacentral:sRNA from 1 species
CAGAUUGGGAUACUCUUCAAAUAAUUAUGAAAUGCCGAGUCCGGUAUCGGUGUCAAUGGCGGGCCUCGACCCUUCGGGGUGUCUUUCGCGACCGGAGGAUUACAAAGAUGCUGAUACUCUCAAAUCCUGUUUUUAUCGGAGUUUCAUCCAUCGUCCUUUGGUGUGGCUUCUU